UUCCUCAUUCUAGGUGAAAAUGGGCACUGUUGUUCAUGUUGUGCAGAAAUUGUUGAUGUGGCUACAGUGGGACAGAGACUAUGCUUCUAUCACAGUAAGUUUAUUGCAGGGGUGGCCAGGCUCAAUGAGUG
rnacentral:snoRNA from 1 species